CCUACGGGAGGCAGCAGUUAGGAAUAUUCGUCAAUGGGGGAAACCCUGAACGAGCAAUGCCGCGUGAACGAUGACGGUCCUCUGGAUUGUAAAGUUCUGUUGUUUGGGAAGAACGGCUCUAAUAGGAAAUGAUUAGAGAUUGACUGUACCAUUCAAGAAAGCCACGGCUAACUACGUGCCAGCAGCCGCGGUAAUACGUAGGUGGCGAGCGUUAUCCGGAUUUAUUGGGCGUAAAGCGUCCGCAGCCGGUUUAUUAAGUAUAGAAUAAAACUUCGGGGCUCAACCCCGUCUCGUUCUAUAAACUG
rnacentral:rRNA from 1 species